rnacentral:rRNA from 1 species
CGGGGAGGUAGUGACGAAAAAUAACGAUACGGGACUCAUCCGAGGCCCCGUAAUCGGAAUGAGUACACUUUAAAUCCUUUAACAAGGACCAAUUGGAGGGCAAGUCUGGUGCCAGCAGCCGCGGUAAUUCCAGCUCCAAUAGCGUAUAUUAAAGUUGUUGCGGUUAAAAAGCUCGUAGUUGAAUCUGUGUGUCACAGUGUCGGUUCACCGCUCGCGGUGUCUAACUGGCAUUAUGUGGUACGUCCUACCGGUGGGCUAAGCUCCUCGCGGAGCGGUCCAACUAAUCUCCCAUCGCGGUGCUCUUCACUGAGUGUCGAGAUGGGCCGGUACGUUUACUUUGAACAAAUUAGAGUGCUCAAAGCAGGCUACCUUCGCCUGAAUACUGCGUGCAUGGAAUAAUGGAAUAGGACCUCGGUUCUGUUUCGUUGGUUUUCGGAACCCCGAGGUAAUGAUUAAUAGGGACAGAUGGGGGCAUUCGUAUUGCGACGUUAGAGGUGAAAUUCUUGGAUCGUCGCAAGACGGACUAAAGCGAAAGCAUUUGCCAAAAAUGUUUUCAUUAAUCAAGAACGAAAGUUAGAGGUUCGAAGGCGAUCAGAUACCGCCCUAGUUCUAACCAUAAACGAUGCCAGCUAGCGAUCCGCCGAAGUUCCUCCGAUGACUCGGCGGGCAGCUUCCGGGAAACCAAAGCUUUUGGGUUCCGGGGGAAGUAUGGUUGCAAAGCUGAAACUUAAAGGAAUUGACGGAAGGGCACCACCAGGAGUGGAGCCUGCGGCUUAAUUUGACUC